rnacentral:lncRNA from 12 species
AUGUCCUUAUUUUAUGGAACUAUGGCAGCAAAUUUGUUGUAUUAACUGCAGCUGUCAGAAGUGAUGUCCUGCAUAAACUUCAUAUCCUGCAUAAUCUUUGUAACCAUACUCCAUCAGGACAGGGCAGUGUGAUGCUGAACAAAGGAUGCCACCCCUCCCCAGCCUCUCAGGUGCAUUGGAAGAUUUCACAGCUUUGCUAUCAAGAACUAGAUGAUGAGAGCCCUUCUUCCACUACUUCAGGUACAUGACAUUACUAUUUCUGGGUGUUCCAAAAUUUCAUGACUGCUGGUGAGAAGAUUCAUGCCAAAAACACCUCUGUAGCAACUUUUAUAAAUGUUUUAAUU